rnacentral:rRNA from 1 species
GGUUCAUUCAAAUUUCUGCCCUAUCAACUUUCGACGGCUGGGUCUUGGUCCGCCGUGGUGACAACGGGUAACGGAGGGUUAGGGCUCGACCCGGAGAAGGAGCCUGAGAAACGGCUACUACAUCCAAGGAAGGCAGCAGGCGCGCAAAUUACCCAAUCCCGACCGGGGAGGUAGUGACAAUAAAUACUGAUACAGGGCUCUUUUGGGUCUUGUAAUUGGAAUGAGUACAAUUUAAAUCCCUUAACGAGGAACAAUUGGAGGGCAAGUCUGGUGCCAGCAGCCGCGGUAAUUCCAGCUCCAAUAGCGUAUAUUAAAGUUGUUGCAGUUAAAAAGCUCGUAGUUG